UGUCUGAGAAGCCCAACAAAUAUGUUCCUCAUGUCUCUGGAGCUGUGGAUCAGAAAGGGCAAAGGAUAUUACAUGGACAAGUAGAAGGAGCAGAUAAGAAUGCUGAGGAAGAUUCUAUAGCCAGGCUUUCCGACAAACCUGGUCCUGAUGAUUCAUGGUCUACAUCAUCUAGCCAAGUCUUAGAUUUUGGGACCAAGGUAAAGUA